CCUACGGGCGGCAGCAGUAGGGAAUCUUCCACAAUGGGCGAAAGCCUGAUGGAGCAACGCCGCGUGGGUGAAGAAGGUCUUCGGAUCGUAAAACCCUGUUGUUCGAGAAGAAAGUGCGUGAGAGUAACUGUUCACGUUUCGACGGUAUCUAACCAGAAAGCCACGGCUAACUACGUGCCAGCAGCCGCGGUAAUACGGAGGGGGCAAGCGUUAUCCGGAUUUAUUGGGCGUAAAGGGAACGCAGGCGGUCUUUUCAGUCGGAUGUGAAAGCCUUCGGCUUAACCGGAGUAGUGCAUUGGAAACUGGGGGACUUGAGUGCAGAAGAGGAGAGUGGAACUCCAUGUGUAGCGGUGAAAUGCGUAGAUAUAUGGAAGAACACCAGUGGCGAAAGCGGCUCUCUGGGCUGUAACUGACGCUGAGGUUCGAAAGCGUGGGUAGCAAACAGGAUUAGAUACCCCAGUAGUC
rnacentral:rRNA from 1 species